GUUGAAGGUAAGUGUGUUGCCCAGGCCUUGGCAAUUCCAACACAUAAUCUUCAUAGUGAAACACAGCAACACAAUAUUCCAACAAUUACCGCAGAAGAGUUUGCCUAUUAGAGUCAUGCAGACUCACUUAGGACUUUGAUCAAAAACCUGGUGUGCAUUCAAAAUAAGAUAGCUCCCAUAAAAGAGAUCCACAAUAACACCCAAAAUAAUAAAGCUUCACAACAAAUGCCCCCAAGAGAGAUACAAACAGAUCAAAGAAUGCCAAACCAAAAUUGAAAAGAAAAUCCUAUUUGAGAAUCUGAAAUCGAGAUGUGAGAUGCAAAUAGAGAAAAAGGAAAGUCUAAUUUGCACUUGAUACACUUGAAGAUGAGAAGUUCACCCUCUCAGUGAGAAUGAUGCCCCGUCCCAUUGACGAGAGUUCCUGAUGUAAUGACAACACUUGAAGCUGGUCCUCUCUUAAGUAACAGCCUCAAUCGUCGAUGAUUUUAAGGCUACUUGCUGACCUGGAAAUCCCAUUACCAUUCUCAAACUUAUGUAGCUCAGAUUCAAUGGUUUCAGCGAUUUUGGUUCCUUCAGCAGCUGCCUCAGGCAGAUCAACAUGGAAAGACCCCUGCUUAAUUGGUUUGUCAGGUUCAUUGAUCAAGGACUGCUGCUUGAUGUAGUUGUA
rnacentral:misc_RNA from 1 species